CGUGCGACCGAUGUACCGUCAGCCUACAACAAGCAAGCGCAAAUUCAUAGAGUGAAUAAUGGAUCUACUGUCAUAAGGACGCUGAAUUCAUUGUCAUCGUUACGUUUCAUUUUGGAUCUAAAGCUCGCCAAGGUAUCACACUUGUGUCAAACAAGAAAGAAUGGAUCUACUGUCACAAGGGCGCUGUCAUAGUCGUGUUCCACGUUUCUUUUUGGAUCUUAAACUCGCCAAGAUAUCACA